UAGACCAAUAAUGAUGGAUGGUGCUUUAGGGUUAAUAGAUGAUGAAUAAUAGGUGUCUGGAACUUUGAGGCUCAA
rnacentral:snoRNA from 1 species